AAUGAACGCUGGCGGCGUGCCUAAUACAUGCAAGUCGAGCGAACGGACGAAAAGCUUGCUUCUCUGAUGUUAGCGACGGACGGGUGAGUAACACGUAGAUGACCGACCUAUAAGACUGGGAUAACUUCGGGAAACCGGAUCUAAUACCGGAUGAUAUUUUGAACCGCAUGGUUCAUACGAGCAAACCGGUCUAGCUGUCACUUAUAGAUGUAACCUAGCUGCAUUAGCUAGUUGGUAAGUUAACGACUUACCAAGGCACCGAUGCAUAGCCGAUCUGAGAGGGUGAUCGGACACACUGGAACUGAGACACGGUCCAGACUCCUACGGGAGGCAGCAGUAGGGAAUUUUGCGCAAGGGGCGCAAGCCUGAUGGAGCAAAGCCGCGUGAGUGAUGAAGGUCUUCGGAUCGUAAAGCACUGCAACUUGGGAAGAACAUAUGUGUAAGGAAAUGUUGCCAUCUUGACGGUACCCACUAAGAAAGCCACGGCUAACUACGUG
rnacentral:rRNA from 1 species